CGUAAUGUCUUUAAUAAUUCUUCUUCGGGCGUGUUUGUGGACGCCCGACGCACAGUGUUCAUCCGCCUGCACGGAUCUCGGAGCGAGCAGUGGACGAUCCGGUUUAGCACUCGGGCGAAGCCCUUACAACCCGAGUCCGGCGCUAAAGGAGUCCGAGUGCCGGCCAGAUGACCGUCGGCCCCCACCGGUGGCAGCGGGAAUGGGGUCGAAGGGCUUCGCUCCUCUUCCCACAAGAACCGGCCCGGCCAUCGACUGGGCGGAAGCUCCCCGAUCGACGCCGAGUCCACCUUGUUCCGACUUCAAACUUCUUUCCUUUUUCCUCCUUUUUACGUGUUAUACGCGAACAGCACCUUUUUCUUCCCCUUUUCUCGCGAGUAACGCUGACUUCUUUAAGUCAAGAUUUCAACAAUACUGUUGCUUCCGGACGAUACGCCCUCACCGUUAAAAAAGGAGAAUCACAGGUUUGAAGCACUGCAGAGCGAAUCCCGGCAGGAGGCUUCUCAAAGGUGAUGGAGAUCACCCGAUGAUAUCUCCAGCGUCGUGCUUGUUGAAAAGGAUAGGUACGGCACUCGGUCGCAAGAAUCUGGUUUCAUGGCAUCGAGUUGGGAUGCUGCCCUUGUGAUCCAAAUCGAGCAUUCAGGUCCCGUGCAGGGCUAGAUGGCAGUGCUGAGAUGAAUUGGGAGGCUUCAUUCAGACCUGGACGGAACAUUUAAAUGCAAUUCAGUCCACAUGUUUUACAGGGUCCGUGCUUUGUUUAGUCAUAUAAUCUGAGCAGGGAUCUAUCAUAUAUAUAUAUAUAUAUAUAUAUAUAUAUAUAUAUAUAUAUAUAUAUAU